AUUUCUCCCCUUUGAGCUCAGG
rnacentral:miRNA from 1 species